UCCAUAUGACUGGCGGAACGUGGAGCUUACCACAGGGAGUAUGGAUGGAUUUUGCCGGCCGCCUGGGCAAA
rnacentral:ncRNA from 1 species